UGCUACCUACGGGGGGCAGCAGUGGGGAAUAUUGCACAAUGGGGGGAACCCUGAUGCAGCAAUGCCGCGUGGGUGAAGAAGCACUCCGGUGCGUAAAGCCCUGUCAGCAGGGAAGAAAAUGACAGUACCUGGACAAGAAGCCCCGGCUAACUACGUGCCAGCAGCCGCGGUAAUACGUAGGGGGCAAGCGUUAUCCGGAUUUACUGGGUGUAAAGGGAGCGCAGGCGGCGUGGCAAGUCAGAUGUGAAAGGUCGGGGCCCAACCCCGGGACUGCAUUGGAAACUGUUGAACUGGAGUACAGGAGG
rnacentral:rRNA from 1 species